UUCCCGUUUAGUUUCCACGUUCGCGGAAGUUUUACACGCCAAAAUAUCAAGAAAAGAACUUGAUUUUGUGGAUAUCUCGGAAAGGAAGAUACUACGAAAGGUAGAAAUGGUUACUUAUGCAUUUGAUGCACAUAUUUUUUACAGUUAGACACAGGGUGACCAUUACAGUUAGAGACAUCAUAUUUGGUAACUGUGACCAAAUUACUGGUAGAAGUGUCGGUAUGAGUGGGAAGACUUCAGAUUAGAAAGCAAAUCCAGUGGAGGGUGCUCCGUGGCCCCUGAAAUAGACAACUAAGGAUGGCUGUGUAUCUAGAAGGCUGUAGCUGGAUUCCUCCUUUGUGGAAGAUGGACUAUCUUUUCAGAUCUUUUAUUAGGAAACAACAUCUCUGGAUUUCCAUGCCUGGAUCAUAGUCACCAAGAUAGUGAAAAUACUCUUUGUCAAUAGCAAAAAGACCACCAGCCAUGGUAGGAGACCUAGAGUUUAAAGGUUAAUCACAUGCUUUACAUGGUCUUCAGAGCUUUUGAAUGACGCUGGUGACAGUUGGUCCCAAGAAAAAUGAAGGCCCCAGUUAAAUCCUCCUCUCACUGCUGGAGAUGCUUUAUAUUCAAAUGUAUCGGCACUUAUAAUAUCAAUUACUGGACAAACAACAGUGUGACGGUCCAACUUGAUACGCUCCAGCAAAGGUGGCAACCAGUUGACAUUUACUUCACAGUGACUAUCUAAAAAUACCAAAACUUGUCCUAGAGCUGCAUUCGCUCCAAUCAUUCUUCCACGUAUGAGUCCCUCUCUUUUUUUAGCUCUAAUAAUUCUAAUUUUUGGGUAAUUUGAAAUAUAAUUGUCAAGCUCAUGCUUCAAGUAUGUAAUAUCACUAAAAUCAUCGACUAAAAUUAUUUCCUGUAAGUAUUCUGAUGUUCUGUCUAGCACACUGUGUAAUGUUCUAAGCAGGACAGUCCAAGCUUCAUUGUGAAAACAAAUAAUGAUGCUUGCGAAUGGGAGAUCUGGUGAAUAUGUUUUUAAUUGACACCUGUAGGAAAUUAAAAUAAAGUAAUCACAA